GUUUAUGAUUACAAGAGAAUUGCAAAGCAGAAAAAUCAGUUCACCUCAUUUUCUGCACCCUCCUCAUCUUUAUAACCCGUUUUAAGCAAGAUAUCAUGCA